CCCAAAGGCAUCGGGGACCCCCCCACCCCAGCCAGAUACUUGAGGCCACUCUACCGCACCCUGCCGGGGAGGCCCUGCAGCAUAGACCGGCGCUCUGCCCACGCACGGCAUGCCCUCCAUCUCCAUUCUGCCUACACACAGCUCCCACCGCUUGACCCGUGGGAGGAAGGCAGGCAUGGGUGUUAGACAGACCCGGGUUCCCGUCCCAGCCCCACCUUCACCAGCUGCAGGAUCUUGGCCACCUAUCCGGGCUUCGUUUUCCAUACAGUUAUUAAAUGAUACCCGUGUGGCCGCCACAGACCAGGCACUGCCCUGGGGGAUGCAGCAGUGGCCAGUCUCUGCCCUGUGUCCUGGACAGUAGCAGGCAGACUUAGACUGAACAAGUAUUUACACAGAAAUACUGUGUUUACGUUACAGCAGGUGCUGGGAGGAAGGAGUAGAGGGUUUUGUGGGAACAUAAGAUAGAACCUAAUGUGGGGGGAGAAGGAGGACUUCCUGGAGGAGGUGACCAGGACAAUGACCAAGAAUUGCCCUGGUGAAGAACCAGGGAUGAGGGUCCAGGCUGAGGGAAGAGCAUGGUGCGCUCUCUUCAUUUGUUGUGAUGGGAGGCAGCCAUUCUCACCCGCAGGGUAGUUUAGAGGCCGAAAGGAGAAAAAGCAUGCAAAGUGCAUACAGUAAGAACUAAAGAAUUGGUCGUAGUUACCAUGACACACAGAGGCUUGCUUCACCAUACUCUCACCUCCCAGGCCAACACAGACCCUGCACUCCCUUCAGCCACCUGACCACUCAUCUGUCCCCACCAGCCCUCAUGGCUUCGUCACAGAGGCUGCCUUUUUCUCAUCCUCCCCAAAGCUCUGCGCUGCCUCUCCCCUCCGAGUGUGGGGUCCACAGCCCUCCAGCCGGGGGGGGGGGCUGGUGCAAUGGAGCAGUGGAGUGCUGGAAGGAAAGGGAGAGGCACAGUCCCCAGGAGGCAGCAGGAGGACCUUUGAGCGUCUGUGCGCUCAGUCAGCAAAAGGGGACCAAGAGCCCGCUCAUUGCUACUGCAGCGCUAGCUUGUGGGUGAAGGGCCUCGGGUAAGGGAGACAAAUUACCCCCACUCUUACUCCUGAGAGGGGCAUGAUUGGAGAAGUAAACAAGCAGAAUGCACAGGGUGGUAUGAGCUGUAAAGGAAUGAAAAGGAACACAGAAUAGAGAGUGAUGGGUGUCAGAGGGAUAAGCUGCUUUUGCAGAGGGAGGAGCUUGGUAUCUUUAAGAAAGAGAAAGAACCCUGGAACGAGCUGGAGUGGAGAGGCAAAGGGGACAAGAUAGUUGCUGAGGCGGGAAAGCAGGUAGCCGCGGGUCUGUGCAGGAAACCAUUGGAGUUUUCUGAGAUGGAGGGUGAGGGGGUUGGGGUUACGUUGGUGGAAGUCCCUUUCAGCCUUGGGAGAAGCACCAGCCUAAGCAGACUGAGGCUGUUUGCAGCUGCCCAGGCCAGGGAUCAUCCUGGAGGCAGGAGGCCCAUGGAGAGGGCGGGGUGGGGGGGAGGGAAGUAGGGAGGAGACAGAACAUGGGUAGAGCAAGAGAAGUAAACUCAGAGUAAGAACAGGGAGAUUCCUGCUUCUCAUUGUUCUCAUCCUCGGCAUGAGUGAGCCGGUUCACUCCAUCCUGGGGUCCCCACCUCUACAAGGGACGAGUCCCAUCUGCUCUCUCAGACCCUUCCCCACGGAAAGGCUCGGAAACGCACAGUUUUGCUUCCCCUCCAUAAGGAGUAAUUGCCUCUCUGUUCCCCUUUAAAUAGACUCUUGAGACAGCUAAGUGUUCCUCUUUAUGGUAACAGGUUUUGAACACGGUUCAGUGGCCUGAGUUGCCAUGGCAACUUAGCCUUCAGAAGUCACAGGGAUAAGAUGAGUAGGAAACACUGCUCUGUUCAAGGCUUCAGGAAGAUGGGGAGAGGCUCCAGGGGCGCCGGGAGGAGCGGAGACGGGGGAGGGCCGGCCCCUGGAAACCCGUGCCUACGUGUCUCCUGGUAGCACCUUCUUUCAUGAGGAGCUGUGACCCGGGAGCAGCCAUUAGGCUUCCCCCGUGCAAAUCCCAAGAAGCAGACUAUUGAUGGGGUACGAGGAAAGGAGAAUUUUUUUCUCAGGCAUUCCUGCCUGGUGGUCACUGGCAUAUAUCACUGAAGACAAGAAGAUACUCGGGAUAAAAGACCUUCAGAGCUGAGAGAGGCCUCAACCGUCUAUGCUCCCACCCCCUCCAUUCAUACGUGAGGCAGUGGAAACCAGAGAGGGGAGCUCUGUCCUGAGGUCCCAGGCCAUCAGCAGCAGAGGCAGAAGAAGAAGGAAAGCCUAGGUUUCCAGGACUGAGUCCAGGCCUGUUGGAGGCCAACAUAGCAAGGGUUAGGGCUCCCCAGAGCUGUGCUCUCUACUUGACAACAGGGGAAUCCACAAACCAAGGCAGUGCUUUCUGAGAUGAGAAUGAGGCAUGACAUAUCCACUGUUCUAAUUAAAGAGGGAUACUUAUAGCACAAAAAAGAAAGGGAGGGAGGAAGGAAAGAACAGAGAGGCCUUAAUGACCAUCUGCAGAGGAAGGACUAUUUAAACUGUGGAACAUCUGUUCUUAUGGAGGACUCGGAAGCAGUUAAAAAAAAUAAGGUGCUCAAGUAGGUUUGUGUAUACCCACAUAGAAAAUGUUGAAGGACAUAACGCUGAGUGAGAAAAAAAAACAAAUCAUAGGACAAGGCACACAGUAUGAUGCCAUACGUAUAAAAUAAG